UCAGUCGGCCGGACGGCCGCUCCCGCUACGGUCGAAAGGCUGCGGGAGAGGAAAGUCCGGGCUCCAUCGACAUACGGUGCCGGAUAACAUCCGGCGGGGGCGACCCCAGGGACAGUGCCACAGAGAACGAACCGCUCCCCACCCGAAAGGGAGGGGCAGCAAGGGUGAAAAGGUGCGGUAAGAGCGCACCGCGGGUCCGGCAACGGAAACGGCAUGGCAAACCACACCGGGAGCAAAACCGAAUAGGGACGGCAACGCGGUAAGUUCGCUUUAUGCGAUAACACCGCAGGGCGAUGUCAGGCUCGCCGUCCGGGUAGGUUGCUCGAGGCCAUGUGCGAACAUGGUCCCAGAGGAAUGGCCGUCACGUAUCGUCCGCGCAAGCGGCGGUGCCUUACAGAACCCGGCUUACAGGCUGGCUGAUAUC
rnacentral:RNase_P_RNA from 2 species